CCCUUUCUUGAUCCGGUUGCCCUCCGUUUCUUGCGUCCCCCCCGGGAUAAGCCCGAAGGAGUUAUGAUAUCGAGAUCUUGCUUGGACCUGCUGAGCCUGGUGUCGUUGGACGACUUCCGGGUCGUCAGCCGGAUUCCCAGGGUCAUGACGACCGCCGGGGUGAUGUCCGACUUCGGGAGCGAGGCGUCGCCGCGGUCGGAGUCGGACGAGGCCGCGUCGUCGUCGUCGUCGUCGGCGGCGCCGCUGCCGGAGCGGCGGAUCGUGGUCGCGAACCAGCUCCCCGUGCGGGCCCACCGGGACAGGCAGACCGGGAAGUGGAGGUUCGAGUGGGACCAGGACAGGCUGGUGUGGCAGCUCAAGGACGGGCUGAGGCCCGACGUGGAGGUCGUGUACGUCGGCUCCCUAGGGGCGGACAUUGACGUCGCCGAUCAGGAGGAGGUCUCGCAGUCGCUGUUCGAGACGUUCCGGUGCGUGCCGACGUUCUUGCCUGCGGAUGUGCAGCACAAGUUCUACCAUGGCUUUUGCAAGCACUAUCUCUGGCAUCUGUUUCACUACAUGUUGCCCAUGUCGCCGAAACACGGGGCUCGGUUCAACCGCCUGCAGUGGCAGGCUUAUGUGUCUGCCAACAAGGUUUUCGCGGAAAAGAUCAUGGAAGUGAUCAACCCGGAAGAGGAUUAUGUCUGGAUACACGACUAUCACCUCAUGAUACUGCCUACUUUUCUGAGGAAGAAGUUCGCUAGGAUCAAGGUAGGUUUUUUCUUGCACAGCCCCUUCCCGUCUUCGGAGAUUUAUAGGACGAUUCCGGUGCGUGACGAGAUCUUGAUGGCCUUGUUGAACUGCGAUUUGAUCGGCUUCCACACAUUCGAUUACGCGCGGCAUUUCUUGACGUGCUGUAGUAGGAUGUUGGGGCUCGAUUACGAGUCGAAAAGAGGGUACAUUGGGUUGGACUACUACGGUAGGACUGUGAGUAUCAAGAUUUUGCCAGCCGGGAUUCAUAUGGGUCUGCUUCAAUCUGUUUUGUCCAUGGAAUCGACAGCUAAGAGGGUCAAAGAAUUGAAGGAACAGUAUGAGGGGAAAUCUGUCAUAGUGGGCGUGGACGAUUUGGACAUGUUCAAAGGUAUUAGCUUGAAGUUCUUGGCGAUGGGGCAACUCCUGGAGCUACAACCUGAAUUGAGGGGCAAGGUGGUUUUGGUUCAGAUCACCAAUCCCGCUAGGAGUAGCGGAAAAGAUGUGCAGCAGGUCCAGAUCGAGACUGAUCACAUCGCAGACGAGAUCAACAGAAUGUACGGCGGACCUGGGUACGAGCCGAUUGUUUACAUUAAGGGGCCGGUCGCAACGCAAGAGAAGGAUGCGUAUUAUUCGGUCGCCACAUGCGCUGUGGUGAAUGCUGUUAGAGAUGGCAUGAAUCUUGAGCCUUAUAAGUACACCGUAUGCAGACAGGGUAGCCCUGCUUUGGACAAGGCACUGGGAAUCGAUGAGAGCUCCGCUCCGAGAAACAGCAUGAUCAUCGUGUCGGAGUUCAUAGGAUGCUCGCCGUCGCUGAGCGGGGCCAUCCGCGUCAAUCCGUGGGAUAUAGAUUCCGUCGCGGAUGCCAUGAAUGCGGCGAUCACGAUCUCCGACUCGGAGAAGCAGCUGCGCCACGACAAGCAUUACAAGUACAUAAGCUCUCACGACGUCAAGUACUGGGCUCGGAGUUUCGACCAGGACCUUGAGAGGGCUUGCAGGGAGCAUUACCAGAAGAGGUGCUGGGGAAUUGGAUUCGGUUUGGGCUUCAGGGUCGUCGCUUUAGGGCCCAGCUUCAGGAAGCUCUCGGUGGAUCACAUCGCCUCUGCUUAUCGAAACACGAAGAACCGGUUGAUUUUACUGGACUAUGAUGGGACGCUGUUGCCAAAAGCUUCCAUAGACAAAAGGCCUAGCGGUGAGGUGAUUUCGGUACUGAAUAGCCUAUCCAGGGAUCCGGAAAACGUUGUUUUCAUCGUGAGUGGUAGAGGUAAAGAUUCUCUGGGAGCGUGGUUUUCGCCAUGUGAGAAGUUGGGUAUCGCAGCAGAGCAUGGUUAUAUUAAAAGGUGGACUGCAGAUUCAGAAUGGGAAACAUGCGGGUUGACGAUGGAUUUCGAAUGGAAAAAGAUAGCCGAACCAGUAAUGGAGCAGUACAUUGAGGCGACAGAUGGCUCUUUCAUAGAGACUAAGGAGAGUGCAUUGGUUUGGCACCAUCAAGACGCAGAUCCCCAAUUCGGGUCAUUCCAGGCGAAGGAGCUUCUCAAUCACCUGGAGAGCGUGCUCACGAACGAGCCGGUGGUCGUCAAAAGGGGUCAACACAUCGUCGAAGUGAAACCGCAGGGCGUAAACAAAGGCACGGUGGUUGAGAAUCUGAUAUCAACCAUGCAGAGUAGAGGGAAGUCGCCCGACUUCUUGCUGUGCAUCGGAGACGACCGCUCGGACGAGGAUAUGUUUGAGGCUAUCGCGCGCCCGGUUUCGACUCCCUCGACAUCUGCAGCGGAAGUUUUCGCAUGUACCGUCGGGCAGAAGCCAAGCAUGGCCAAGUACUAUCUCGACGACACUAGCGAAGUAAUCAAGUUGCUUCAGGGCCUUGCAGCCGCAACAUCACAACCAAAACUCGGAUGUUUCCACUCCAUAUCAGAAGAUACUUCUUCGGCUUGGGGAUAAACGAAAGUUUGAGCAGAUAAUGAUGAUACAGGGUAAAGAAGUUAGUAGCUGUGAUUAAAUUUUUUUAGGGGAGGGUGAACAUUUGUUUAGAAAUGGUGGGAAAGGAAGAAAAAGCCACCCUUGUACAGAAAAGACGCCAUUGCGGAAAUGAAGAAAAUCCAACAUGAUUUCCAAGUUAAAUGCAAACAAGGAAACCAGUAAGAGGAGUUUAUAGGCACACCUGGAUCUAUUAUUGUUCGAGCGAUUUGUACUCGGCUUAUGCUGCUAUAAGUCCUGUUUUGCGAAGAAAACGGAAUCGAAAAGGCUGGCGCGUUGGGGUUGUGGAGAAGAGACCAGAGUUAGAUUCUAGUUAAAUUGAGAUACAGAGGGUAGUUAGGACUACUUUGAAACAGUUGUGUAAAGCUUCAACAGACUGGACAGGUGUGUUUUCAGAGAAAUUUUGCAGAGAAUGAUCCAACUUGAGACGUUCAGAUGAA